UUGUCACACAGUUUUCGGAGAGAACGUAUUUGGGGGCUCAAAGAUCAUGCGAGAGUAAUGGCGCUAGCCUUGCAAUAAUCACGAGUAUAGAAGAGUCAAAUGCUAUCAAUUAUUAUCUUCUCUCACAUAGGAACUUUGUAUCGCCGGAUGUGGUAUUUGGUUUGGGAGCUUUUGCCAAAGACAAUGAAUACAAAUGGAUUGAUGGUUCAAGAGCAAUCUUCCAAAACUGGUUUACAGACUGGUCAAAUGUUCAGAAUGCACGUCCUGGUUUGUUAACGGUAGAUUCCUGUGUUGUUCUUCGAAUAACGUCCUCACAGAACAGCUCAAACUGGAUCGUACAGAGGUGUCGUACAGAUUAUACAAAUGCCAUAUGUGAGAAAAGAAUAAAUAAGACAGACAUUUCCGUCUACGCAAAACCCGUGAAAUACAAAUUGGAACUGACAAAAUGGACACUAGGGAAGACCACUUUUAAAUGCAUUGAUGGUAGCUUAAUAGCCUUGACUGGAAGAUGCGAUACAUUUCAUGAUUGUCCAGACUAUUCGGACGAGGUUG
rnacentral:lncRNA from 1 species